GGAGAGGUGGCUGAGUGGCCGAAGGCGACGGUUUGCUAAAUCGUUGAAGGGCUUCAAGGCUCUUCCGCGGGUUCGAAUCCCGCCCUCUCCGCCA
rnacentral:tRNA from 1 species